rnacentral:misc_RNA from 1 species
ACAAACUUGGUCAUUUAGAGGAAGUAAAAGUCGUAACAAGGUUUCCGUAGGUGAACCUGCGGAAGGAUCAUUACUGAGAGUAACUCUUUAUAAGAGUGCCUCCCGUCCUUUGCAGGCCCCUAGUGGGGGCUUUUUGAUUUUGCUUCGGCGGGGUUACCCCGCCGGAACACCCUCAAAAAAAUCUCGAAAAAAACUGUUCCGUCCGAGAACUUUUGCGAAUAAUCAAAACUUUCAACAACGGAUCUCUUGGUUCUGGCAUCGAUGAAGAACGCAGC